rnacentral:misc_RNA from 1 species
AAGAGUCAUUAUGGGCUAACCCCCUAAUACUCCACCCUUUGUUUACAUUACCUUUGUUGCUUUGGCAGGCCCGUCCCUGUGACCACUGGCUUCGGCUGGUCCGUGCCUGCCAGAGGAUCUAAAACUCUUGUUAAUCAUAUUGUCUGAGUACUAUAUAAUAGUUA